AGCGAACGCUGGCGGCAGGCCUAACACACGCAAGUCGAACGGAUCCUUCGGGAUUAGUGGCGGACGGGUGAGUAACACGUGGGAACGUGCCCUUUGGUUCGGAACAACUCAGGGAAACUUGAGCUAAUACCGGAUGUGCCCUUCGGGGGAAAGAUUUAUCGCCAUUGGAGCGGCCCGCGUCUGAUUAGCUAGUUGGUGAGGUAAAGGCUCACCAAGGCGACGAUCAGUAGCUGGUCUGAGAGGAUGAUCAGCCACAUUGGGACUGAGACACGGCCCAAACUCCUACGGGAGGCAGCAGUGGGGAAUCUUGCGCAAUGGGCGAAAGCCUGACGCAGCCAUGCCGCGUGAAUGAUGAAGGUCUUAGGAUUGUAAAAUUCUUUCACCGGGGACGAUGAUGACGGUACCCGGAGAAGAAGCCCCGGCUAACUUCGUGCCAGCCGCCGCGGUAAAAC
rnacentral:rRNA from 1 species